GACGAACGCUGGCGGCGUGCUUGACACAUGCAAGUCGAACGGAAAGGCCUGCUUUCCCUUGUGGAUUGCGGGUACUCGAGUGGCGAACGGGUGAGUAACACGUGAGUGAUCUGCCCCCAACUUGGGUAUAAGCCUGGGAAACUGGGUCUAAUUCCCGAUAGGACUGCGGGUGGUGCCUGUGGUGGAAAACGAUUUUCUAGUGGUUGGGGAUGAGCUCGCGGCCUAUCAGCUUGUUGGUGGGGUAAUGGCCUACCAAGGCGGCGACGGGUAGCCGGCCUGAGAGGGUGGACGGCCACAUUGGGACUGAGAUACGGCCCAGACUCCUACGGGAGGCAGCAGUGGGGAAUAUUGCACAAUGGGCGGAAGCCUGAUGCAGCGACGGCGCGUGGGGGAUGACGGCCUUCGGGUUGUAAACUCCUUUCGACCGCGAGGAAGCCACCUGGUUGGAAGGGUGGUGACGGUAGUGGUAGAAGAAGCACCGGCUAACUACGU
rnacentral:rRNA from 1 species